UGCUUUUCAAACUUUAUUUUCCAAUAAAAUUUUAUUUUCUCUCUUUCUCCAUUUUCCAAUUUACAUGGGUCCCUCUACUCAGUUAGCUGCGGAAAGCAGAGUCAUUUCUGUGUCCUUGAUUCUCAUUUACAUGUAGUUCUUCCUGCCACCAGCUUAAAUCUCCUGAUUCUGUGGCUCAUUCAUAGAGAAACUCUGGAGCUCAGCCAUGUCCUGUGUUCUUCAGCAUCAGGAUAAAUGUGUCUGUGAUGACACUGUGAUGACCCAGUCUCCAGGCUCCCAGGCAGUAUCAGCUGGAGAGAGCACCACCAUCCAUUGCAAGUCCAACCAGAAUCUUCUACACAGUGGUUUCAAUGUGAAACUAUUUACAUGAUACCAGCAGAAACCAGGACAAUCUCCCAAGCUGCUCAUCUAUGGGACAUCCAACUGGGCAUCUGAGAUCCCUGACUGGCUCAGGGGCAGUGGGUCUGUGAUGGAUUUCACUCUCACCAUCAGCAGCAUGCAAGUUGAAGAUGUGGUAGGUUACUACUGUAAGCAGGCUCUUAAUGCUCCUCUCACAGUGAUUCAGCCUCAAACAUAAACUCCCUCUCAGGAUCUUCCCAGCUGCUUGCUCUCCACAUGGCUGAGGGCUUGAACACAUCCUCCAGCUGCCUGAAAGAAUGUGUCUUCACUGAUGCAUGAGGAAGACUGCAGGUUUUAGUGGAAACUACAGGGGCUCCUGAUUUCAUAGAUGCUUUGCUAUAGGAAAAUGUAGAGAAGAUAUUUGUAUUAGUCUUGCAUCUUUCAUAAUAAUUUACAAAAUCAUAGCCUUGAAAUGAGAAAUUCAUUAGUUUAUACUUGUGUAGGACAAAAUCAAGCACUAGACUCAAGAACUAAAAUGAACAUGGUGUCAGGCGACUUUUCAUUUGUGCACUGUAAAAUGGAAUCCAUUUUUUAGCUUUCUUGUAUCUUGAGUUCUUUUCACUCCCUGGCUUGUGGUCUUUUCCUCCAUCUCUAUCAUGAGCACCAUUUCAUUUUGUCUGGUGUUUGUCAAAUAGUGAUAUUGUUCUCUGACUAUGCCUAUCUACUCUUCAAACUUGUACAUUAAGAAAACGUGCUUCCACUAAUGAUAAAUAUAGUUUUGUAUUUAAUAGCAUAUACCUGUUAAUCCUCACAUGUCAUAUUAAUUAACACAUUCUAUGUUUAGUGAUGGAGAUCUUUGUGCCUCCUUGGAAUCAGGGUGCUAACUAAUCUCAUAAAUGUGUUCACUUUAAAUGGGAAUUGAGCGUCUACACGUUUGCCUAACUUCAUGGAGGAGACAUGGGACUUGGAGUUUUCAGCAAUGCUGAAAUUUGAUAACUGUUAUGUAGGACUAAAUUCCUUUUAUAUAAUGAACAUUAGCCUUUGAGGGCCAGGACAGAAUGUUUGACCUAUAUUUAUAUAAUGUUGAUAGACUUAAUGCUGGCUGCUAAGGAUUUUUAAAGCUAUGUUAUAAUGUACCAUGUUUUGAAAUAAUAAGAAUUAAGAUGUCUUUGCAUCUGAAAACUGGCUUAAACAAAUGUGUCUGGUUACCAAGUUGACCAGGGGUGGAUUGUUAUGGUUGAGACAUUGUGCUAAAUUGAGAAAUCUAGAUGAUUAAGGUAUUCAGCAUCCCUCUGUCCUGGGUGUUAAGGGCAUGCUUUACUUCUCUAGCACAUCAUCUAUUUUGUCAAGGUGAGGAGGUCAGAAGUUUAACUAAGUGAUUCAGCAGGGAGCUAGAGUUUGGCUUUGUAAAUAUCCCCAGCUUGUGCAACAAGAGACAGGGUAUGACUGCAACAUCUUGAGAAGGGGCAUAGCUUGCUUACAAUGUAAGGAAGGAAAACAAGCAUCCUCUCCUCUUUUACACUUUUUGCUUUUGGUAAAUGCCCUAGCCAUCAUAAAUGUUUUCCCCUCUGCCCUGCCUUGGAGCCAGCUGAAUACGGACUGAAUCCUCAACAUAUUGCAAGCUAAAUAAACCUUUCUUUCCUUCA